GAGGGGAUUCCCCACAAGAACUAAAGGAAAGGAUGCCUUAAUGAAACUCUAUGCCAUAAACAAAUUCAAGGACACGGGAUGUCCUUAAAAAACUCUAAGAAGGUGGAUGCCCUAUAAAACUUAAGGAAGUGGGAGUGCACUGAAUAAACACUUAGUAGGGAUGGCUUUAAACAAAUUCAACUAAGGCGAAUGCUCUACACAAACUCUAGGAAGGGGAAUGAACUAAACAAUCUCCAUGAAGAGGAAUGACCUAAGAAUGUGAAGGAAGGGUGAUGCACUAAGGAAACUAAAGGAACCCCAUGGCCCAGGCAAACUAAAGGAAGGGGGGUGUCAUGAUAACACUCGGGGAAAAUGGAUGCUAAAAAAAAACUAAAAGAAAAGGGGAUGUCCUAAACAAAGUCAAGGAAGGGAGAUUCCCUAAUAAUAAUCAAGGAAAUGGGAUGACCUAAACAAACUAAGGGUAGGGGAUGCCUUAAAGAAACUCUAGGAAAGGUGAUGUCAUAAACAAAAUUAGGAAAUAAGGAUGAAUUGAAAAAAAAAA
rnacentral:lncRNA from 1 species